GGGUCAAGUGAUGAGUAUAAACUGCAAUAAUAUCAUGGGAGUAAUACUCUUACGAUACUUCUUUAUUACUAAUUUGUUUACU